rnacentral:lncRNA from 1 species
CUGCAAAGAGGAGGCCCUCCCUCUCGGAGGAGGGGGGCCCACCCGACGGGGGCGCCGCCCCUCCCCCACCUCUGCUGGCCCGGCUGCUGCUGCCACCGGUCCGAUGCCCUCUGUCCUCAGGGCGCCCAGCCCUGGCAGUCCUGCAAAGUCACCCCCACUCGUUAGCUGCCUGGCGUCCCUGCUCCUGGGCAAGGGCCACUCCCCCCCACUCUGCGGGGCCCCCGGUCCGUGGCCCGAGCUGGAGUGGGGUCUCUGACUUGUUUCUCGUCUUCGGGGUGACCGCAUCCCCCCCCCACCUCGACGUGGCCAAUCAGGCCGGCGGCUGUGGACCAGGAACCGCCAGAAGUCACUGUCUGCAGGCCGUCUUGGGGGUCAAACCUCGUCCUCCUCCUCCUUCGGCGGGCGGUCAAGAGAAGCCCGGACAGGGACAAGGACUUGUCCGGGAGGUGCAGCAGGACUGCGAAGCCCCCACAGCUCCGGGCCCCAGAAGGCCCCUCUGCCAACCAGCAAAUACACUCAGAGCUCGGGGCCAAAACGGGGGCAGAUCCUCGCUCCUGACACCCGGCCUCCCCCGGAGCCUCCCCUCCCGUCGUCGCCGCCUCGGACACCCCGGCCCAGCCCCGCUCCAUCCGGGGGAGCCGCGGGCCCGGCGCCCCCGCCCAGGGGAGGAAGCCGCCUGUCAGGCCGCCACGGCGUGUCAAAUCCUCUCGCUGCCUAAUUGUGAGACGGCGGCGUUUAAAGCAACGCUUUGCUGGCCGCCUGCCACACCGCAAACGGCUCGGUAUAAUUUUAUUAUUAAGGGAGAGAAAAGAGGGAGGGGGCCGGGCCGGGGGGCAGUCGCGGGUCCGAGUCAGCCGCGGGGGGGAAUGCGGCUCCGGGCGAGCACCGCCGGCUCUCGGGUUGGCCCGCCGACUCCGUUCAUUGCGCAUUCAGUCUCUACUUAGGGCAACCGAAACCAAGCGGGCCCGGGUCCGACGAUUAGGGUCCGCGACUGGGCCAUGAACCCUUCCACCCCCGCCCGCCCCCGCCGCCCCGGGCGCGGUGCGGGACGGGGGCGGGGGGCGCAGCGCCGGCGGCGGGGUGAACGCGGCGCGGGAGCUGGGCGCCGGCCGAGCGGGGGAUGGGGAGCGGCGCGGGGCGUGCGGGGGUGUUUUGCGGCCCCGCCGCCCCCCCGCAACAGAUGUCUCAGCCGUGUAAGACAAAGGCAGUGCGCCUGCCGCUGCCGGCAGAAAAUCCGCAGGACUCCCUCAGGGGCAGGUAAAAUUUCA